GUGAUAGCUAGGGAGUGGUCGUUAGGCCACACGGGCUUACGGGCCCACACGGGCAUGUGGUAUCUUGGCCAGGCUGUGUGUUCCACAUGGCCAAGGCAAGCUGGGCGUGUGGGCCCAUACAGGCUAGUCAUAUGGGCAUGUGACCCCAUUUAACCGAAAUCUUUCCUAAAGUUGCACGGGUGUCCCAAACGAUUGUGAGCCUGCUGUAAAAUCGGUAAUCCACAAAGUUAGAUGGAUCAGUGCAGCAGUGGACUGACGGUGACCACUCUUUUGAAAUUGUUACACUUUUGUUUUAUGGUUUCAUUUUAAUUUGUUGGGUAUUUCUUUUGUAAUUGGGAUUUUAUGGAUUGUUUUACUUAAAUUUGGGUUUUACAAUGUUUACGACCUUAUAACUGCAAAACUCAGUAACAAUUAGAUUUUACGAAAAGCAAA